UGGCUAGUGACCAGGCGUUCUGAUUCCUGCACCCCAGGCAAAGAAGGAAUACGUAGCAGACUUGCCUGCUAGAGAGAUGAGAUGCAUGGGGCCGAUGUCGAUGCUGUACCACAGCGGAGAGGAGCUGCCGGAGGACUGCCAAGGCGACGGGAAUCGCGCCAGGUAAGAUA
rnacentral:SRP_RNA from 10 species